rnacentral:rRNA from 1 species
UACGUAGGGGGCAAGCGUUGUCCGGAAUCAUUGGGCGUAAAGCGCGUGUAGGCGGUUCGGUAAGUCUGCUGUGAAAGUCCAGGGCUCAACCCUGGGAUGCCGGUGGAUACUGUCGGGCUAGAGUACGGAAGAGGCGAGUGGAAUUCCCUGUGUAGCGGUGAAAUGCGUAGAGAUGGGGGAGAACACUCGUGGCGAAGGCGGCCAGCUAGACCAGUUCUGACACUGAGGCGCGACAGCGUGGGGAGCAAACAGG